UGUUAAGAGGUUGCCUCUGUCGUUACCUGCUCAAGCAGAUACGGGAAUGCAACUGCUGA
rnacentral:sRNA from 12 species